rnacentral:rRNA from 1 species
GACGAACGCUGGCGGCGUGCUUAACACAUGCAAGUCGAACGGAAAGGCCCUGCUUUUGUGGGGUGCUCGAGUGGCGAACGGGUGAGUAACACGUGAGUAACCUGCCCUUGACUUUGGGAUAACUUCAGGAAACUGGGGCUAAUACCGGAUAGGAGCUCCUGCUGCAUGGUGGGGGUUGGAAAGUUUCGGCGGUUGGGGAUGGACUCGCGGCUUAUCAGCUUGUUGGUGGGGUAGUGGCUUACCAAGGCUUUGACGGGUAGCCGGCCUGAGAGGGUGACCGGCCACAUGGGGACUGAGAUACGGCCCAGACGCCUACGGGAGGCAGCAGUGGGGAAUAUUGCACAUGGGCGAAAGCCUGAUGCAGCAACGCCGCGUGCGGGAUGACGGCCUUCGGGUUGUAAACCGCUUUCGCCUGUGACGAAGCGUGAGUGACGGUAAUGGGUAAAGAAGCACCGGCUAACUACGUG